GCCGGUGUGACAGAACGAUUUAUGUGGCAGUCUGCAAAACUGACCUAAGCGGGUUUGACUCCCGCCACCGGUUCCAAUU
rnacentral:tRNA from 1 species